UGUGAUCAGGACUGAACACAGAGACACCAUGGAGUCUGGACUGAGCUGGGUUUUCCUUGUUGCUCUGUUACAAGGUGUCCAAUGCGAUGUGCAGCUGCUAGAGUCUGGGGGAGGCUUGGUCCAGCCUGGGGGUUCCCUGAGACUCUCCUGUGCAGCCUCUGGAUUCACCUUCAGCAGCUACUGGAUGAACUGGGUCCGCCAGGCUCCAGGGAAGGGGCUGGAGUGGGUCUCACGCAUUAAUACUAAUGGUGGUAGCACAUACUACGCAGACAGUGUGAAGGGCCGAUUCACCAUCUCCAGAGACAACGGCAAAAACAUGCUGUAUCUUCAGAUGAACAGUCUGAAAGCUGAGGACACGGCCCUGUACUACUGUGCAAGAGACACGGUGACAGGACAUCAGUGUGAGCCCAGACACAAACCUCCUGUGGAGGCCAGUGGGGCCACCAGGGGGUUGAUCCCCAGUGCCUGAGCAGGUGCUGAGGGAAGCUGAGGUUUCCUUCCAGACCUUGCUGUUUCCUGUCUCUCUGCCUGUUCUUAGUCUUCCUCAAGACUCAUGGUGUUUUUUUUUCCUGCAAUGUCCUGGGCUCUUUCAUCUACAAUUGGAUGGCUUCUGACCUGUU